UGGGCGAUAUGGACAAAAUCAAAUACACUGAUUUCUUUGACCAAAUAGCUUGUUAUCGAUAUUGUGACAGUACAGGAAUGACUGCUGAUGCUGA